GAAAUGCGAUAAGUAAUGUGAAUUGCAGAAUUCAGUGAAUCAUCGAAUCUUUGAACGCACCUUGCGCUCCUUGGGAUUCCUUGGAGCAUGCCUGUUUGAGUAUCAUGAAAUCUUCAAAGUAAAUCUUUUGUUAACUCAAUUGGUUUCUACUUUGGUAUUGGAGGUCUUUGCAGCUUCACACCUGCUCCUCUUUGUUCAUUAGCUGGAUCUCAGUGUUAUGCUUGGUUCCACUCGGCGUGAUAAGUUAUCUAUCGCUGAGGACACUGUAAAAGGUGGCCAAGGUAAAUGCAGAUGAACCGCUUCUAAUAGUCCAUUGACUUGGACAAUACUUUUAUGAUCUGAUCUCAAAUCAGGUAGGACUACCCGCUGAACUUAAGC
rnacentral:misc_RNA from 1 species